GUACUGUUGUGGAGUCCCAUAAUAGGACGAAAUGGCCGUCCAGUGC
rfam:Schistosoma rodhaini strain Burundi genome assembly, scaffold: SROB_scaffold0004649